rnacentral:misc_RNA from 1 species
GAUGAAGAACGUAGCGAUAUGCGAUAAGUAAUGUGAAUUGCAGAAUUCCGUGAAUCAUCGAAUCUUUGAACGCACAUUGCGCCCUCUGGUAUUCCGGGGGGCAUGCCUGUCCGAGCGUCAUUGCAAACCCUCAAGCCCGGCUUGUCUGAUGGGUCCCGCGUCCGCCUCUUAGGGGGCGGACGGGCCCGAAACGCAGUGGCGGCGUCGCGGUAAUCCGAUCAGCCAGAGCGUAUGGGGACAUCUCGUCACACGCUUUAGGCGCGGACCGGCGCCCGCCGAGACCAAAUCUCACAUCCAAGGUUUGACCUCGGAUCAGGUAGGGAUACCCGCUGAACUUAAGCAUAUCAAUAAGCGGAGGA